rnacentral:lncRNA from 1 species
ACGUUUAUCCACAUAUGUUAGUAUUAUUUGAACCGUUAGAUUUGAAUAAUAAUGGUUGAGAUUAAAAGUUUUUGCAUAACAUGCUAAACAUGUAUUUAGUAACUUAUUAGACAAGACGUUGUCACGUCUAUGCAUAUGGCACACGUCAAGGAAAAUAAAGAAUAGUCCGGAAAAUAUACGCCAUAAGAUUUAGAGCCGUCCAGCCCGUUAUCACGUCACAGAAGAUACAGAACCUCGCGUGCAUCUAAUUCCGUUAUCACGUCACAGAAGAUACAGAACCUCGCGUGCAUCUAAUUCCAAACCGGGCAUGUGCAUGCCAAAAAAAAACAAGGAUAACUCCAGCCGUGGAGUCUUCAUGAAAGAAAAGAAAACAAGGAUAACUACAGUCGGACUAUCCACAUGGAGUCUUGAUGAAAGGACCACAUGAAGUCUUGAUAAAGAGAAACUCUACAUGGAUCGGCCAAGCCAACAAAUCAGAAAGGCACCCAGCCGACCACAUCCAACCGCAAGAAUUGAAUCCAACCAAUUCUGGACAAAUCAAUGUCUGUACAUCUGCUACCCGAUCAGAGAACCACCGAGAAAAUAGAAGUCUUCCAGAAUCUGCUACCCGGCAAGAGCAUCACCAACAGAAUCGAAGACUACAGAACAAAUCUGCUAUCCAACUCAAUUGAAGAAAAAAUUGAAGACAAAAAAUGCCAAAACUCCGAUGUGACUGCAUCUCAAUGCCCGAUGAAGUCAGGACAGGUCUUCUGAGUUGCCUCUCACCUGAAUCAGGUUCGCAAAUAUUAUGAAUUAAUUAAUUCAGUUUUCAGAAUAGAAGUUGCAUAGAUAGCUGAUUAAAAAUUUCAGAAUCAUUUCAUAUCCAAAAAACUAUGGUGUUGAAGAAGCUUAGCGCUUACCAACAACAGGACAAACUAGAACAUUCAAGUAAAAGUAUAGAGAAUGUGGGAUUACCUCAAUCAUACAACAGAUCAACAAUUUAAAACAAGCAAAUGCUAAUUAUAUUUUGUUUGCAUUCACAUGGCGAAACGGUUCAUGUUACUAUCAACAUUAAAAGCAUCAUGCUAUUAUCUGGAGGAAUUUGAUACACUUAUAAUAAUGAAAGAAAAUGAUAAUUCUAUGUAUGCAUAUAACACUUUUUUACAGGUAUGCAUAUAAUACUUUUAGGUUUGUGGAAUCCACAAAGUAUCGCCCAUUGAGAAAUGAAAUUAAUUUAUUUCUUCAUACAAUGUAUAGGUAAAGGUGAAAGGACCAUUAGAAUGUUGUCUAGAUUACAAUUCCGAGUUUGCCACCAAGGACACGAUACAAAACAGGGAGAUAAAGUUAAUCAAUGCUCACAUAUGUCUACUCUACACUUUUAAAUAAUCUAAUUAAUAUUUCUAGCCGUGAAGAAAUUAAUACGCAAAUUUGCAUGACAUUGGAUUAUUCACCCAAAUGAAGCAUGUGGAAUCAACAAUAACAAUCCCCACAAAAAAAGGAAUCAAGAAUAACAAAAAGGAUUUUACAAACUUCAUAUUACCACAAGACUGCUUCUAAUAACAGAGCAGUGCAUAAUGCAUGUCCAUUACUGAAAUUUUAAUUGGACUUCCACCAUUGCGGCUAAGAUUAAGACUUUUUCAACUUAGCCCCCUUUAGGGGUCAUGAAACCAGAACUAGACUAUUUGGAAUGUUUGCUUAUUUUUUAAAUUAGAAUUUAAUUAUUGCAAAAAUUCAUACAGUAAGUCCAAUGAUGUUACAAACAAAUCUAAUAGAUUUGUGAUUGAUUUAAUAGGGUUGUGCCUAAAGUCAACCAGCGCUAGAAGAAUAUAUACAGAUCUACACAGCUGAAAUAGAAACAGGCACGAAAAAGGUCUAAGUAAUUCAUGUACAAACCUAAGUAAUUCAAUCUACUAGGAAAUAAUCAUUCACGUAUAGACAUAUUUCAGUAUGGGCACGUACAAAGCUAGGUCCCCCCAUACAAAUUAGGAAAACGUGGGCAUGUCCUUUUGAGAGAGAAAAGAGAUACGCCUAAGUAAUUCAAUCUACUAGGAGUACAAAAUCAGAUCAUCUACACACUUUAGAAAACAUGGGUAGGUCCUUCGAAGAAAAACAAAAGGCACGCCUAAAUCGUUCAAUUUACUGGGAAUUAUAUUAAAAAGUCUAGCCUGCCAAACACAUCCCAUGUGUACAUGCAUGCACUUGCAUCUAAUUCUGACGGACAGACAUGUUGAACUUAACGGGCAGAAAAAUAGACAUUGGUAUGAGGCACACUUGGUAUGUGGAUUACCUCAAUCAUACAACAGAUCAACAAUUUAAAACAAGCAAAUGCUAAUUAUAUUUUGUUUGCAUUCACAUGGCGAAACGGUUCAUGUUACUAUCAACAUUAAAAGCAUCAUGCUAUUAUCUGGAGGAAUUUGAUACACUUAUAAUAAUGAAAGAAAAUGAUAAUUCUAUGUAUGCAUAUAACACUUUUUUACAGGUAUGCAUAUAAUACUUUUAGGUUUGUGGAAUCCACAAAGUAUCGCCCAUUGAGAAAUGAAAUUAAUUUAUUUCUUCAUACAAUGUAUAGGUAAAGGUGAAAGGACCAUUAGAAUGUUGUCUAGAUUACAAUUCCGAGUUUGCCACCAAGGACACGAUACAAAACAGGGAGAUAAAGUUAAUCAAUGCUCACAUAUGUCUACUCUACACUUUUAAAUAAUCUAAUUAAUAUUUCUAGCCGUGAAGAAAUUAAUACGCAAAUUUGCAUGACAUUGGAUUAUUCACCCAAAUGAAGCAUGUGGAAUCAACAAUAACAAUCCCCGCAAAAAAAGGAAUCAAGAAUAACAAAAAGGAUUUUACAAACUUCAUAUUACCACAAGACUGCUUCUAAUAACAGAGCAGUGCAUAAUGCAUGUCCAUUACUGAAAUUUUAAUUGGACUUCCACCAUUGCGGCUAAGAUUAAGACUUUUUCAACUCAGCCCCCUUUAGGGGUCAUGAAACCAGAACUAGACUAUUUGAAAUGUUUGCUUAUUUUUUAAAUUAGAAUUUAAUUAUUACAAAAAUUCAUACAGUAAGUCCAAUGAUGUUACAAACAAAUCUAAUAGAUUUGUGAUUGAUUUAAUAGGGUUGUGCCUAAAGUCAACCAGCGCUAGAAGAAUAUAUACAGAUCUACACAGCUGAAAUAGAAACAGGCACGAAAAAGGUCUAAGUAAUUCAUGUACAAACCUAAGUAAUUCAAUCUACUAGGAAAUAAUCAUUCACGUAUAGACAUAUUUCAGUAUGGGCACGUACAAAGCUAGGUCCCCCCAUACAAAUUAGGAAAACGUGGGCAUGUCCUUUUGAGAGAGAAAAGAGAUACGCCUAAGUAAUUCAAUCUACUAGGAGUACAAAAUCAGAUCAUCUACACACUUUAGAAAACAUGGGUAGGUCCUUCGAAGAAAAACAAAAGGCACGCCUAAAUCGUUCAAUUUACUGGGAAUUAUAUUAAAAAGUCUAGCCGCCAAACACAUCCCAUGUGUACAUGCAUGCACUUGCAUCUAAUUCUGACGGACAGACAUGUUGAACUUAACGGGCAGAAAAAUAGACAUUGGUAUGAGGC